UUCAUCCGACUAGUUUUUCUUCGCGAACUGAGCCUGAAGCCAGUCGAUGGUCUUCUUGUCCACUUGGAAAGCCUUGGCGAGGAUUUCAUCCGAGAUGGGGGGAUUCGACCCGAACACAGCAUCGGCGAUGGUGAUGGUGCCAGGGUUUUGGCUGCUGAGAGCACCGAUGGCGAAGGUGUUGGUGUGCCCAGGGUUGAACUGGAAGUGGAUGAGGCCUUGGGGGAACACAAACACAUCACCCUUCUUCAGCAUCUUGGUGAAGAGACGGUUGCCGUCGUCGCUGUUGGAUGUGACGAAGCCGACCAAGAGCUGUCCCUCUAUGACGGUGAGGAUCUCGGUGGCACGGGGGUGAGUGUGGGGCGGGUUGAGGCCAUUGGGGAUGUAGUCGAUGCGAACCAUGGAGAUGCCGAGGGUGUUGAGCCCUGGAAUCUGGAUCACGUUGGCAGGCGUGACAUUGAACCCGAAAUUGUUCUUUCCUGUAUCGCCGGGCAUGUCGAGGCCAGAAAGAGAGAAGUCGUCGGCUUUCACAACCAUGGGGUCCUUGCAGACGAAUCCAUUCACCCGCACUGCAACAGCAGAAGGAAGAAGCAAACUCGGUCGGUAAACAUGCAUCAGGAGAACAAACGCACCGAAGGAAAUUAAUCUGGAUACUAUGAAUACCUUUAGACAUCAUAUCUGCGACACAGAAGUCUUGAAGUUGGCUAGGAUCGGAAGCCAUUGCAAGAGAGGAAGCCAUGGCGAGGAGAACAAGGAGAAACAUUUCGGCGGCCAUCUGUAAUCUCUUAGAUGGAUGGGAUUACCUGGUGCCGUGAUACAGUGGCCUGGAAGAGACGGGUAUAUAUAGAGAAGCAGGCUCUGAAACAUUCAUGAUCAUUAGGUGAAGGAGAUGAAAAGUAUACCAUGUUAGGUUGCUUUCUUCUUGCAAUAUAUUUUCUAUAGCCGUCACCUCGUACGAGAUCCAUAUGAUGCACAGUAACCAUUAAAUUUGUUGACGUGUCUCAGUAACCUAAUCCAUGACCAUUUUAUAUGUAUAUAUAUAAUGAUGGAGCUUUUAGUUAGAUCAUGCUGUAGUGUAAAAUGGACUCUUACGUUCGACUGCAUAAUCCACCACGUGAGAUUUUUGUGACGACCUUACGCUACCAAACAAGAGGAGAAGUCAGCAAAGAUGUGGCAGCUGAACAGAACAAGCUAAGGACAGGUAGAAAGAACAAGAAGCCAAAGAUGUGAUUACCAAUUUGACCUUGUCGGGUCUUGUGUACUGCUACGGCUGAUACCGUGUAUUAUAAUUAAGGUGUUCUACGUCAUCUCCGACUAUUUUCAUCACACUGAGACGUCGCGUGCAUGUUGCAAAGAAGUAUGUAAAUACGUAAGUUCUUAAGAGAUUAUAAGUUGAUAUAAUGCUGUCCAAGAAUAGUAAGCAUGUUGAUAGUUGCCUCUACGUUAAACGCUUAUGGGAUCCUAAGUUAUUAAGAGAUCAUAAGAGAUUUUAAAAAUACUAAAUCUUCGUAUAUAGGUAUACAAGAAUAUUGUACGAUUUAGAUAAAAUCAAUUAUAUUCGUGAUAAAAAUCAAUGAGGUUAGGUGAGAUAAAAUAUUUUUUUUAAUUAAAUAUCUAAAGUAAAAUUAACAUAUCAACAUUACAUUGUUCACAUAAAAUUUAUAAUCAUAUUAUCUAUAAUACGAAAAAAAAAUUAUGUCAAAAUUUAAAAUCAAAUAAUAAUGGAUCUAAAUAAUAUUACGAUGCAUACCUUUCGUUGUUAUUUAGAAGAAUAAAUAUUAUCUGAUCUACAGGCGUAUCAUCGUCGGAUCUAAAUGAAAUACUUCUAUUUAGCCCUUAAGAUCAUAUCUAUUUAUAAACAAAAACAAAGAGUCUAAGAUAAGAUAUUAGAAGAAUUCCUCCCAUAAGGAUAUCCUUGGAAUCCUACUAUAAUAUGAAUUUUUUUUUUAUUAAUCAAUAAUCAUAAUCAGAAUUCAAUCAUAUCUAUAAUAUAUUUUACCUAAUUAAAUAUGACCACACAAUCUAACACUCAAUCAUAAAUCCACGAAUCAUAAAUCCAUAAAAAACCAGAAUUUUUGAACUCAUUUCAACCGAGUUCCCAAAAAGUUUAUUAAGUAAAUAAGAUAUUAUUAUGAAUACAAAACAUUUUAAAGUUUUAUAGAUGAUAAUUCUUUUCUAGAAGGUUCUGCCAGCGAGGAUGAAUAAAAAAAAAAGAAAAAUAUCGAUAUAAUAUUUGUAAUUUAUAUAAAUAUAAACAUUUUUCGUCCAUCCAACUCAGCGACCUCUCUGGCAAUCAGAAAGAUUUCAAUAACGAUCAAACAAAGGCUAAUCGAUUAUUUCAGUCAUCAGAUUUUGGUGGCAACGACAUGUUACCAAACACCAUAAAGAAGCUCUCAAAGUCCGACCACGAGACAAGACAAAGUUGCCAGUACGAAUCCGUCUCCGUUCUUCGACCUCGUUCCAUACUGUAUAUUACGAUCGAAGUGAACUGUGUCAUCUUCAACUAUUUCACCAUCACACUGUUUAUAUAUUAUUAUGGUCUAUUUGUGAUCACAACAUAAGAGUUCAAAUUCAUAAUUAUAUUUCAUUUUAGUAAAUGAAUAAAUUGGAGUGAUUGAUACCGCCGGUUAUAGGUGGAUGCAAUCGAGCCAUAUACUACUACUGAACUUUGUAGAUCCCAUGUCAUACAAGUCAAGACAAAAGCACUCCUUUCGGGAAUUCUUGGUGAUGACUUGUUGAAGUUAUGAUCGUGUAUACAAUAUCUCAUGUUUCAGUCAUAAUAUUUGCAUAAAUUGACUUAUUACCGGUAUAUUUUAGUAAAGUUGUCUGCAUAGAUAUAUAAAGUUCAUGAACCUGAGGGAGGAUAAACAUAAGGUGGAUAAAGAAGUAUGCAUAUAUAUAUAUAAUAUGAGAUAUUACACUUUUUGAGGAUGCUGCACUCCAUAUAAUCUAUAAUCUUCCAGGUGGGAAAUACUAUCAUAUGAUCUAAAUAUUGAAAUAUGACUCAUGGAUUUCUUUCUUAAAAAUCAAGUUUUAUUUAUUAUAUUUAAUGACGUGUUUAUAUGAAAUUUGCAACAGUACACCAAUCGUAUGUCAAUAGAGAUGACUCGAGAAUUCUGAAACAUGACACACUUCAUACGUACUUUUCAUAACAUAGAAAGGUCUCUUAAUUCCAUUACAAUAGCAAACGCAAACAGGUAGUCCACUGUUUGCUUAUUCACACCAAAACACACGAGCUAAGAGUGCAGCUUAAUUCAUUCCUCCGACUAGUUUUUCUUCGCGAACUGAGCCUGAAGCCAGUCGACAAGCUUCUUGUCCACUUGGAAAGCCUUGGCGAGGAUUUCAUCCGAGAUGGGGGGAUUCGCCCCGAACACAGCAUCGGCGAUUGUGAUGGUGCCGGGGUUUUGGCUACUGAGAGCACCGAUGGCGAAGGUGUUGGUGUACCCAGGGUUGAACUGGAAGUGGAUGAGGCCUUGAGGGAACACAAACACAUCACCCUUCUUCAGCAUCUUGGUGAAGAGGCGGUUGUCGGUGUUGGAUGUGACGAAGCCGACUAAGAGCUGUCCCUCUAUGACGGUGAGGAUCUCGGUGGCACGGGGGUGAGUGUGGGGCGGGUUGAGGCCUUUGGGGAUGUAGUCGAUGCGAACCAUGGAGAUGCCGAGGGUGUUGAGUCCUGGAAUCUGCAUCACGUUGGCAGGCGUGACAUUGAACCCGAACUUGUUUCCGGUAUCGCCAGGCAUGUCGAGGCCAGAAAGAGAGAAGUCGUCGGCUUUCACAACCAUGGGGUCCUUGCAGACGAACCCAUUCACCCGCACUGCAACAGCAGAAGGAAGAAGCAAACUCGGUCGGUAAACAUGCAUCAGGAGAACAAACGCACCGAAGGAAAUUAAUCUGGAUACUAUGAAUACCUUUAGAGUCCUUAUCUGCGACACAGAAGUCUUGAAGUUGACUAGGAUCAGAAGCCAUUGCCAGAGAGGAAGCCAUGGCGAGGAGAACAAGGAGAAACAUCUCGGUGGCCAUCUGUAAUCUCUUAGAUGGAUGGGAUUACUUGGGGCCUUGAUACAAUGGCCUGGAAGAGACGGGUAUAUAUAGAGAAGCAGGCUCUGAAACAUUCACGAUCAUUAGGUGAAGGAGAUGAAAAGUAUACCAUGUUAGGUUGCCUUCCUCUCGCGAUAAUAUUGUCUAUAGCCGUCUCCUCGUACGAGCUUCAUCUGAUGCAGGGUAACAAAUAGGUUUUUUGACGCUGUCUCAGUGAUUGCUUGAAUGCAUGCGUUCGCCGACAAAGAAAAAUAGUUCUUUAGUUUAAUGCAUCCAACCUAAUCCAUGACCACAUCGUAUACACAAUAAUGGAGCUUUUCAACCUAAUCCGAAAUCCACCGGGUGAGAUUUUGGUGACGACGUCAAGAUACCAAGCACGAUGAGAAGUUUGCAAACAUGUGGGAGAUCAGGUGAACAAGAGCAAGGUUGUGUCAAAAGAACAAGACAAUAGUGUGUCGUUGCCAAUUUGACUUCGUCUGAUGCCGUGUAUUAUGAUUCAAGGUAUUCUUUGUCAGUACAAAGUAUGUAUGUAUGUAUAGCAUGCACAUCAGUGGUGACACCUUCCUUCCUUAUUGCGAUACCCAAUAUGACUGACUUCAUAUAAUGUUAAUCUUAGUACUUGAGAGAUGAAAAGAAGGGAAAAGAAUAGAAGAGAAUAAUAUCAUAUUCAUAAAAAUUGAGAGAAUGGAAUUACAUAUAUUGGAUUUAGCACACAUCCCAACAAGAUUAACUUUUUGGGUUAAUUAGGUUACCGAUCUAUAUAAUUUUUACCCUGGCUAAGUUAAUUUAUCAUGAUCGAUUUCGACAAAUGAGUCAAAAAGAUUAAAGGAUACAGAUAUUAGUGGUAUUUUUUCACCUAAAUUAUUAGACCAACUUGAUUUAACUUGGAAAAAGACAAAAAAAAAAAGAUUUUGGAAACUGUUAUACUGCCUAAUUUUGAGUCAGUUCAAUCCUCUUGAAUCAGUUUCAAUUCUCUUGAUUGAAUUAUAGGUCAACUCUUUCUCUCUCUCUCUCUCUCAUUUGGGAAAGUGAGAUCAUUUGUAAUCAAGCAAAAUUUCUUGCUCUGAAUAAAUAAAAAAAACUAUAUAUAUCAAUAAAUCUAUACUAUUUUUUUAGUUUUUCAAUUGAACUAAAAUUCACUGUGUGAUUUUGUUAAACCAAAAAUACAUCUCUUAUGAUAGAAAUAGCAUUUGCUUCAUGUAAGGUCUUGAUUUCGUUAUUCUUCAAUUGAUGUGGGAUUUAUAUUUUGUAUCUUGUCUUAAAAUUCAUAUACUUGAUCUAAAAUUUAUGAUUUUAUUAUUAUCAUUAAUUUUCUUUAUCGAAAGAUUAGAGUACACGUUAAACUGCCUAACACGAAAUCAUAUGAUUUUGUGCAUUCAAAGUGGACCCAAAAGACAUCUCAGGAUAGAAAUAACAAUUGUUUGGAACGAAGCAAGAGACAUAUUCUAUCGCAAAAACAAUUGCAAAUAGUUAUCCACUGUUUGCUUAUUUAAAGCACAUAAUUUCAGCACGUCAUGUCAACUUGCAACAACGAAGCUUUCUAGUUGUUGUUGUCCAUCCAGAACUGAGCCUGAAGCCAGUCGAUGGUCUUCUUGUCCACCUGGAAAGCCUUGGCCAGAACAUCGUCAGAGAUGGGUGGCUUCGACCCGAACACAGCGUUAGCGAUGGUGAUCGUGCCGGGGUUUUGGCUACUAAGAGCACCGAUUGCGAUAGUGUUGCAGUUGCCGGGAUUGAACUGGAAGUGGAUGAGGCCCUCAGGGAACACAAACACAUCGCCCUUCUUCAGCAUCUUGGUGAAGAGACGGUUGUCGGUGUUGGAUGUGACGAAGCCGACCAAGAGCUGUCCUUCUAUGACGGUGAGGAUCUCGGUGGCACGGGGGUGAGUGUGGGGAGGGUUGAGGCCUUUGGGCCCGUAGUCGAUGCGAACCAUGGAGAUGCCGAGGGUGUUGAGUCCGAUGAGCUUGUUCACGUUGACGGCAGUGACCAUGGAGCCGAGCUUGUUUACCGUGUUGCCGGCUUUGUCGAGUCCCAUGAAGAAGAAGUCUUCGGCUGUCACGUGCUUGGGGUCUUUGCAGACGAAUCCAUUCACCAGCACU
rnacentral:lncRNA from 1 species